UCAACCACAAUUUUCACUUUUCUUUUUGACCUUUUAUCGCUCAGAUAAAAGCCUUCAAUUCAUCUGCUUUUCUAGACCUGAAAAGACAGAAGAAAAGGAAGCAAGGGAGGUGGCGUCAAAGAAGAAAAGGCUGCAAAAAGGGGCCUUGCUCACACGUCAGUGAUUAUAAGAAUGCUAUUUCCGGUAGUGAUGGUUCUACGACCGCCCUCAAACCAUCUCUUGGCUCUCAUCUCCAAAGACUACAUCGACCGACCUCGAACCAUCUCUCUUCAUGCAGCAUAUUAGUUCCCUUUUUCUGACACCAUUAAUAAAACAAAUCGUUAUCCAUUAAUUUUUUUUUCACUUAAGAUUUUACACUUUAGCUAAAUUUUGGUGCUAGAUUUAAAGUUGUGUUUUUUUCUACGACAGACCUGUACUGUUUUUUUAGUGGUAUGUGGUUUUACAAGCUUGAAGUAGAUUGGGUUAUUACACUGGACUGCACAGAGAUAUUUUUGAAAAAAGAAGUUUUGUGACUACCAUUAUGGUUAAGAUUGAGAUAAAAAGAAUUAGAAGAAUUAGAAGAGGAGAAGCUAGCAAAAGCUACGGGGAGGAGGAACUUCAGUUGUAGCAACGGAGAAAGAGGAAGGCUAAAAGGAGGUAUGGAUUGUCUUUUUCUUAUGCGUUUUAGAAUGGAAGUGACAAGAAUGAUAUUGGUAGGUUAAUAAAGAAAAUUGCAUGAUUCGGUGUGGUACGUAGCUAGGUUUUAUAUAUUUCGUGUAGUAAUAUAUAUAUAUAUAUAUAUAUAUAUAUAUAUAAUUGGUUCUGUAUUGGUUGCAUUUUAUGAGGGGAUCGAAACCUAUUAUUUUUUAAAAGAGAAUUGUCGCUCUAAUUUUGUUAUGGAUAUUUGCAGUUUCUCCAUUAGUUUCCAACUACGUUUAUCUUUUAUUUUGCAGUUUUUAUGUUUUAACUGAUCAUUCUUUGUAUAUAUGUAGUUUACAUUGCUAGGUUGAGAGUGGUAUGUUUUCCCUUUACACUUCACAGAGAUUGUCACAUAGGAUCUCGUUUUUAUAAAUGUUAAGCAUUCUUUAAAACAUGCUCUGGCAAUUUUAUUUUAUUUCUUUGCUUGGGUUAUAUAUGUCAAGAGAUUUGAAAGGGUUAGGUUUUUCCCAUGGUUUAAUAUUCUUUGUAGUGCUCAAUCCUUUACUAGGAUGUACUUAUGCUCAUUUUUCUUGAUUUCAGCUCAAAUCAAACAGUCAUCUAAGACCCAAAAAAGCACUUGCAUAGACUGGUUUAUGCUUUUAACCUGUCAUCUUUUAGCAUCUCGGCUGAUUCUUUGUAUCCCUUCGAUGUCUUUUGAUCUUGUUUCUGCGUUUUCCAUGUACUUACUGCUUAUAUAAUUUUUUUCAGAGCCGAACUUGAUCUUACAUUUCACUUUCAUUGUUGAUUCUCUGCCGCUAUUUAUUGUAUGUGAGGUUCUUUUGUCUUGCUUUGAAAUGUGCUUAGGUUGUGAAACUUAUUCUUGUUACAUUUCCCGUCCUUUUUUUUUCUUGAGGUUUUUGUUUUUGUUCCCUAUCAUUUAGCAUCUCUUGCUUUUUUUAUAGGCUUUUUAUCGAUCAAUCGGCAUCUUAAUGAGGUAUCUUUUUCUUUUAAACUCCUAUUGCUAAUUCUUUGCUUUUAUGUUGUUUAUGCUUUGUCUUAUGCAUCAUGUCAGUUGCUGGGUUGUAUUUUUUUUUUUUGGGAAAGACUUGUUCUAUCUUAUUAUAGAAUGUAUUAAAAGCCUUUCAAUGAUUAUAUUGUGAUGUGUGUGCAGCUUUAGGAUCCAUGUUCUAUCAUCUUAUGUUUAUGUUCUGUUUUAUUUUUAUCUAACCUGCGAUACUUCCGAACUGAGCACUUGGUAGGUAUGAAAACAUGAUCUAUUCUUUGCGGCGAGCAAUUGUUGUUGCCUGUUGCUUUCUGCUUGUCGUCGGUCUUUCUCCCAUCUCUAUUACCUUCUUCUUAUGAUUUAAGUUGUGAUUUGGAUGUUUGUGCCUGAUUUUAUUUUGUUUGGUCAGAAAUCUUUCGAUUCUAUUUCUAUUUUAUGAUAUCUAUUAUUGAAUAGUUGGCGUUGCCUAUUUAUUUGUUGUGAUAUAAACCUUCUCAUAGAAAAUCCAAUAAUUUUGAACAAAUAGAACUUCGUUUUUUAUUGAUUGAGAAUGGUUUUUGAUUGUCUCUUAAAUCUAAUUUUCUUUCUAUAUGAAACAUAUAAUCGAAACUCAUCUCAUCCAUUUAGCAAGCUAAUUAUUGGAUUAAAACUUGCAAAUUACCUUAUUAGCAGCAAGGUGUUAUUUGUUCGUUAGAGGAUGCUGUCGUAAUCAAGCCAAGGAAGGUUAGUUUCUUAAUGGCACAUGUGUAUGUAUUUAAUUAUUCUUUACCUAUCAAUUGUAGCAUGCCAAAGCAAUUAUUUCAUAAUCUCAUUAAUGUUCCAUGCAUGAAAUAGGUUUUUUUUUCUGAGUUUCCCAACUACCAGUGUUAAUAAAAAAUCAUGGCUACGUGGUUGCUAAUAUGAUGGCCACUGGAGACUUACAUGGUUGUUAAUUUCAGGACCCGUGAGAUUAGUCGAGGUACACGCAAGCUAACCCGAACAUCCACGUUAAUCCAAAAGAACAAAUCAUGGCUCCACAGUUUUGCAAUUGUUAAUGUUUUGAAAUUAUUUAGUCUGAGUUUUAUAAUGCUACUCCCAAGAAUUGCAUUUAAAUUAAAGCUUUAAAGUUUGAAUGUCAUAAAGUUUUUAACCGCUUCAUUAAUCCAUUGAAGUUUGGUUUCAAAAAAUAGUGCUGAACUUCUCGAUCUCUUUUCACUUGGGUUUCCUACGAGAAGAAGCUGCUGCUCCUAAGCUCCUCAUCAAGUUCAUUCAUGUUCAAGCGAUCCUGAUAUUUAUCAACCAUUAUAUUUUACACGUUUAAGUUAGUGGAUAUGCAACUUCUGGCGGUGGUCGUGGAAUAGCAAGAGAAGAUUUGUUUGUUGAUGGUGGAAAAACCUAGCUAGGUAGGUGGAAGCAUACCAGCACAAGGACAAAUAAAAACAAAUUAAAAAAAAAAAAAAA